CUGCUUAUUUCGAUAGAUAAAAUGAAAAUGUGGUCAGAGAGAAUUUGUGGUAGAACCUGAGCAUGCCGAGUUGCCAGGAAUUUGCAAAAGCCUUUAAUAUACAAUAAUUUACAUUGCGAUAGAAAAACAUUAUACAGUUACUGAUAUACCAACUUAUGUUAGCCAGGGGGAAAAAGUUUACACACCUGGUUGAAUGUGUUUGCCAAUUAUAUUUAUUCAGUUUCCUGUUACAAAACCAGAACAUGGCUUGGAAAAUCCUAAUUGUUUACCUGUGACAUUAUUUCCAUGAAGAGUAAUCAUCCCAGAAACUAUUAGAGGGCCUUGGAAUAUAUUCAUCUGACCUAUUCUACCUAUCUCAUUUAAAGGACAGCAUCUGAAGAUUUAAUAACAAAAAGCAGUUGAAGCAUUCCAAGCUGUAUAAUCAGGUUGAUUUUGAUGAUGAAAAUCGUCCAACUUUUGCUAAUCAAGUUAGGGGCAUAUAUAAUGUCUUCACAAUUAUUGCAUUUCCAGAUUAAUGGACAGCAGAUUUCCAGUUUUUUAAUUAUGAUGUGCUGACACCUGGGAAAGACACUGUACGACAACGCAAGUGGCCCUUUCUUUUUUCUUUCAAAGCUACUCAAGGAACGUACAGAAGGCCCCAGCCAAUUAAACUUCCUUCCUAAGGGUGUGACUGUGACUGCCGUAGUGUGGUUAUACUGC